rnacentral:misc_RNA from 1 species
ACCGACGAGGGCGAUUAUCAGGUCAAGCUACGUAACCUGAUCCGCUUCCUCGAAGGUGGCGACAAGGGCAAGGUCACGCUGCGUUUCCGUGGCCGCGAGAUGGCGCACCAGGAGAUCGGCCGCAAGCUGAUGGAGCGCAUCGCCGCGGAUCUCGAGGAACUGGCGAACGUCGAGUCCUUCCCCAAGAUGGAAGGGCGCCAGAUGAUCAUGAUCCUCGCCCCCAAGAAGAAGUGAUCCGAAGGCAGUUAAACGGAUAGCCAUGAUGCGUGUCGUCAUGGCUAUCGGCCCCGGGUUUUCUAAAGAAACCGAGCGGAGUUUUCACUCAUGCCGA